rnacentral:rRNA from 1 species
UGAGGACAGUGCCUGGUGGGUAGUUUGACUGGGGCGGUCUCCUCCCAAAGAGUAACGGAGGAGCACGAAGGUGGGCUAAUCACGGUUGGACAUCGUGAGGUUAGUGCAAUGGCAUAAGCCCGCUUAACUGCGAGAAUGACGGUUCGAGCAGGUGCGAAAGCAGGUCAUAGUGAUCCGGUGGUUCUGUAUGGAAGGGCCAUCGCUCAACGGAUAAAAGGUACUCCGGGGAUAACAGGCUGAUACCGCCCAAGAGUUCAUAUCGACGGCGGUGUUUGGCACCUCGAUGUCGGCUCAUCACAUCCUGGGGCUGAAGUCGGUCCCAAGGGUAUGGCUGUUCGCCAUUUAAAGUGGUACGCGAGCUGGGUUUAGAACGUCGUGAGACAGUUCGGUCCCUAUCUGCCGUGGGCGUUGGAAGAUUGAAGGGAGCUGCUCCUAGUACGAGAGGACCGGAGUGGACGAACCUCUGGUGUUCGGGUUGUGUCGCCAGACGCAUUGCCCGGUAGCUAAGUUCGGAAUUGAUAAGCGCUGAAAGCAUCUAAGCGCGAAGCGAGCCCUGAGAUGAGUCUUCCCUGAUACUUUAAGUAUCCUAAAGGGUUGUUCGAGACUAGAACGUUGAUAGGCAGGGUGUGUAAGCGUUGUGAGGCGUUGAGCUAACCUGUACUAAUUGCCCGUGAGGCUUAACCAUACAACACCCAAGGGGUUUUGUA